rnacentral:rRNA from 1 species
GACGAACGCUGGCGGCGUGCUUAACACAUGCAAGUCGAACGGUGAAGCGCCUUCCUUUUUGGUGGGUGUGGAUGAGUGGCGAACGGGUGAGUAACACGUGAGUAACCUGCCCCCUUCUUCUGGAUAACCGCAUGAAAGUGUGGCUAAUACGGGAUAUUCUGGGUCUGUCGCAUGAUGGGUCUGGGAAAGAUAUGGUUUCGGGGGGGGAGGGGCUCGCGGCCUAUCAGCUUGUUGGUGGGGUGAUGGCCUACCAAGGCGGUGACGGGUAGCCGGCCUGAGAGGGUGGACGGUCACACUGGGACUGAGACACGGCCCAGACUCCUACGGGAGGCAGCAGUGGGGAAUAUUGCACAAUGGGCGCAAGCCUGAUGCAGCGACGCCGCGUGAGGGAUGGAGGCCUUCGGGUUGUGAACCUCUUUCGCCAGUGAAGCAGGCCUGCCUCGUUUGUGGGUGGGUUGACGGUAGCUGGAUAAGAAGCGCCGGCUAACUACGUG